rnacentral:rRNA from 1 species
CUAUGCGCCUUGCCAGCCCGCUCAGGUGUGCCAGCCGCCGCGGUAAUACAGAGGUCUCAAGCGUUGUUCGGAAUCACUGGGCGUAAAGCGUGCGUAGGCGGUUUCGUAAGUCGUGUGUGAAAGGCGGGGGCUCAACCCCCGGAUUGCAUAUGAUACUGCGAGACUAGAGUAAUGGAGGGGGAACCGGAAUUCUCGGUGUAGCAGUGAAAUGCGUAGAUAUCGAGAGGAACACUCGUGGCGAAGGCGGGUUCCUGGACAUUAACUGACGCUGAGGCACGAAGGCCAGGGGAGCGAAAGGG